rnacentral:siRNA from 1 species
UGAGGUAUCCAUAUAACAUUGCAA